GACGAACGCUGGCGGCGUGCUUAACACAUGCAAGUCGAACGGAAAGGCCCUGCUUUUGUGGGGUGCUCGAGUGGCGAACGGGUGAGUAACACGUGAGUAACCUGCCCUGUACUUUGGGAUAACUUCAGGAAACUGGGGCUAAUACCGGAUAGGAGCUCCUGCUGCAUGGUGGGGGUUGGAAAGUUUCGGCGGUUGGGGAUGGACUCGCGGCUUAUCAGCUUGUUGGUGGGGUAGUGGCUUACCAAGGCUUUGACGGGUAGCCGGCCUGAGAGGGUGACCGGCCACAUUGGGACUGAGAUACGGCCCAGACUCCUACGGGAGGCAGCAGUGGGGAAUAUUGCACAAUGGGCGGAAGCCUGAUGCAGCAACGCCGCGUGCGGGAUGACGGCCUUCGGGUUGUAAACCGCUUUCGCCUGUGACGAAGCGUGAGUGACGGUAAUGGGUAAAGAAGCACCGGCUAACUACGUG
rnacentral:rRNA from 1 species